CGUGUAGGCGGUCUUUUAAGUCUGAUGUGAAAGCCCUGGGCUCAACCCGGGAAGUGCAUUGGAAACUGGGAGACUUGAAUACGGGAGAGGGUAGUGGAAUUCCUGGUGUAGGAGUGAAAUCCGUAGAUAUCAGGAGGAACACCGGUGGCGAAGGCGGCUGCCUGGACCGAUAUUGACGCUGAGACGCGAAAGCGUGGGGAGCAAACAGGAUUAGAUACCCUGGUAGUCCACGCCGUAAACGAUGAGUACUAGGUGUCGCGGGUAUUGACCCCUGCGGUGCCGCAGCUAACGCAUUAAGUACUCCGCCUGGGAAGUACGGCCGCAAGGCUAAA
rnacentral:rRNA from 1 species